rnacentral:lncRNA from 1 species
AUGAGAAGGUCCAGUUUUGUGGCAGGUCCAAGGGUUAAACACGACGAAGGAGGGACAAGGAAAGGAACUGCCUCCCACCUGUCACUCUGCGUGGGCUCCCUGCGUUCUGGUGCCUUGGUCAAUAUGCUUAACCCCACAGCAAACGUGAAGGUCACAGGACGCGCAUUCUCAUUCUGCAGAAAUCGCCAGCUAGUGAUCACGGUUCAGACAAAUGGUGGAAAUCGUCGGUGGCAUAGGGACGGGGCCAGCGUGGGUGUCAGCCGUGGGUGUGGCAGUUCCGCACUGACCUCGGUGCAUUCCUGCUGUGGAGUCUAGCAUCGGAAAAUCACAGCCCAGAAGACCCUCGGGUUGCACGUGUGACUCACGCACUCCCCCGAGAGAGGCCAACACCUCACAGCAGCCUGCCGCAGCAGCGAAAUGGCUGCACUGAGGCUGUCCAUUAAAAGCAAACACCAUGGCAGUUGCUCUAGCGAAGCACGCUUCUUGCUGAGAAUUCUAGGAGGUUCGGCUGACAGCAAAUGCGUGAGUACCCCAGCUCGCUGUGUCCAUGGAGUAGAGAUCUCAGACUUCACAGCUUUGACUUAUCAAUCUAAAGGUUAAUUAGACAAACUGGGUGACUACUGCCAACAUUUUCUAAAGACAGGUCACACUCUAGGUUUCUAAUUUGUCUUCCGUAUGACCCUGAUCCUGGAAAGUGAGGCCCCGGGUCGUGGUCGCACCACCACCCUGUGCCAUCUGUGUGUGCACGUUGGUGUCCCAGGCCACAGCAGAGAAAGAUGGGAGAGGCCACAGGCCAGGCCCUGGGAGGAUGGGUGGGAUAAGCAUCUGCCUUUCCCAGUGCAGAGGAGGACGGGAGAGGCCACAGGCCAGCUCCAGGGAGGCUCGGUGGAAUAAGCGUCUGCCUUUCCCAGUGCAGAGGAGGAAGGGAGAGGCCACAGGCCAGCCCCAGGGAGGCUCGGUGGAAUAAGCGUCUGCCUUUCCCAGUGCAGAGGAGGAAGGGAGAGGCCACAGGCCAGCCCCAGGGAGGCUCGGUGGAAUAAGCGUCUGCCUUUCCCAGUGCAGAGGAGGACGGGAGAGGCCACAGGCCAGCUCCAGGGAGGCUCGGUGGAAUAAGUGUCUGCCUUUCCCAGUGCAGGGGAGGACGGGAGAGGCCACAGGCCAGCUCCAGGGAGGCUCGGUGGAAUAAGUGUCUGCCUUUCCCAGUGCAGAGGAGGACGGGAGAGGCCACAGGCCAGGCCCAGGGAGGCUCGGUGGGAUAAGUGUCUGCCUUUCCCAGUGCAGGGGAGGACGGGAGAGGCCACAGGCCAGGCCCAGGGAGGCUCGGUGGGAUACGCGUCUGCCUUUUCCAGUGCAGAGGAGGAUGAAGAGGCCUCACAGCCAGUUCCAGGGAGGCUCGGUGGAUAUAGCGUCUGCCUUUCCCUGUGUAGGGAGG